GAUGAACGCUGGCGGCGUGCCUAAUACAUGCAAGUCGAGCGAACAGACGAGGAGCUUGCUCAUCUGACGUUAGCGGCGGACGGGUGAGUAACACGUGGAUAACCUACCUAUAAGACUGGGAUAACUUCGGGAAACCGGAGCUAAUACCGGAUAAUAUAUUGAACCGCAUGGUUCAAUAGUGAAAGACGGUUUUGCUGUCACUUAUAGAUGGAUCCGCGCCGCAUUAGCUAGUUGGUAAGGUAACGGCUUACCAAGGCAACGAUGCGUAGCCGACCUGAGAGGGUGAUCGGCCACACUGGAACUGAGACACGGUCCAGACUCCUACGGGAGGCAGCAGUAGGGAAUCUUCCGCAAUGGGCGAAAGCCUGACGGAGCAACGCCGCGUGAGUGAUGAAGGUCUUCGGAUCGUAAAACUCUGUUAUUAGGGAAGAACAAAUGUGUAAGUAACUAUGCACGUCUUGACGGUACCUAAUCAGAAAGCCACGGCUAACUACGUG
rnacentral:rRNA from 1 species